CUGUGGAACAUGUCAUCUUUAUAAAUAGAACCAGAGGCCAGCGGUUUCUAAACAGUCAGGAGACACUCUGUCUUCUGGUGUCAGCUAUUUAUUUGUAUUUCCGUUUCAUAAAAUGCACCUUCUCUGGGUCUAGGCUUUGCCCCAUUAGACGUCUGCUCUCCUGCCCCAGAUGUGCUACACAGAUUCCUGGCCUCUUGACUCAAACCCCUGGGAACGGGGCCAGUGGGCACUUUCUCCUCUGGUCCCUGCCAAGGUUGUCACUGUGUCCUGCUUCCUGUAUGGAAAUUCUCCCUUAGAAGACUUCUCUUCACCAAGACACCCCCAGAUGCCCCAGACUGAGGAAGAGAGAUUCUAUCGUCCGACUGCUCAAACAGGAUGAGGUGUAACAGAUUUGUGACCUUGAGAUUGCAUACAGGAAGCAUGCAGCAGGGAGGCUUCUUCAACCCCAACAACUGAUGAGCAUUUCCUUGCUUGGGGUACAGAAGAGAGUGGUUGGACAGUGCAUCAAGGAAGUAUUAAUUUGAACAAGAGGGGUUGGAUCUACCUAAUGGAGCUGGAAAAGAUCUUAGACUCUUAUACAUGCAGUUAGCACCCAAUCUUCCUCAAAACCCUAAGGUCAAACACGUGAUCUGUUCUUCCUCAUUUCCUGACUUAUAUUUCAGACUGUUUCUUGUUUUUACAUUAUUAAAGUUACUUUGAAGAUUCACUUUGAUCUGAUUUAAAUGGAAACAAAUAGGAGUAGAAAGAAAAGGUUUCCAGUGCAAUUUUCUGCCCCUUCACUCCAAGCACUAUGUGUGCAUCCAGUCCAUACUGAGACGUUGGGCAUGUCAGAUGAGUAACUUCGGUCCUUUUUACAUGAUUUUGUCUAUUCUUUACAUUUCUAUUCAAUAUUUAAUAGGAAUGGGAAAAAUAAUAAAAGUAAAUGCUUUUUACAUUCAAAAUAAAGGUAUAUUUUCCAUGUACAUAUUACAUGUGAUUUUCUGAACUAGACAAUUUAUUGAGAGGCAUAGUAAACUCUUUAAAUGUAGACAUUCUAAUAAAUCAUCCCCAGGAAAGAGCACAUACAGCAUCAUGAAUUUUUCAGUUUCAGAAUUUAAGCAGGCUGGACUGUUACAGGGAACUCCCAGAAGGCCAGUCUCAAAGUUAGUAGUGAGACCUUAUACACACCAUGUAAAUUUCAUGUAUUUGCCAUAAAAAAAUAUCAACAGAGAGAGACUGGCAGCAAUAGGGAGUGUUUAAUUGCAGCCAAAUCCAUUCAUGUCUCAUGAGUUUUGUCAGCAGUCAUGUAUGGAGACCUGAAUUGACUGGCUCCCUACUCUAGUUUUAUGCCAGUAGCAUUUUGGUGGCCCCUAUUGACUGGUGCUCUGGACAGCUGCCUAAUGGCUCACCCAUGAAUCUGGCCUGUAUCAUCCUAAUCCUGGGGUAUAGAAUGGACUCAGCCUGAAACACUGUGUCAUUUCUAUGAAAUGCCCCCUGGAGAGCCUGGGUGCCAUCUGGCCAGAGGAAGACUGGGGAGAGGGGAGCCUGCUGGAGCUAGAUGAAGGGAUUUGGUUUUGGUCAUGUAGCUGGAAGGGUGAAGUAUAGUUGUGGUAGGAAGUCACAGGUUUUUCUCACCAUCUGAGAGGGAAAGUCUUCAGAGAAAUAAGGGAGGUGGCAGUGCUUUUCAGUUUUGCCAUUCUUACCACCUGCAAAACAUUUGGCAAAGUAUGGAGACUUUUUUUGUGGUUGUCACAAGUGGCGGAUAAGUGCUACUGGCAUCUAGUGGGUAGAGGCCAGAGAUGCUGCUAAAUAUCCUAUAAUGUUUGGGACAGCCCCACAACAAAGAAUUUUCUGGUCUAAAAUGUAAGUAGUGCUGAGUUUGAGAAACCCUGCUAGACCCAGGAUUAGCUCUAGUCCUGGGCUAGGAUAGAUUAUGGGUGUUUUCUUUCCUUUCUAGGAUAAAAGCUUUCCUGCAAGGCCCACACCUCCCUUUGCUUCAACCUUGGCUUACCUUCUUCUCAUCUGAGUCUUGCAGCAUCUACAGUCCGUUCUGCAUCCUCACCCCAUACUGGUGGAGAACAUGCAUGGCCAGAAGUUGGGAGGGAAGGGAAGGCAGAGAGCUUUGAU